rnacentral:rRNA from 1 species
UACGUAGGGGGCAAGCGUUGUUCGGAAUUACUGGGCGUAAAGGGCGCGUAGGCGGCCUUCUAAGUCGAACGUGAAAUCCCCGGGCUCAACCCGGGAACUGCGUCCGAUACUGGAAGGCUUGAAUCCGGGAGAGGGAUGUGGAAUUCCAGGUGUAGCGGUGAAAUGCGUAGAUAUCUGGAGGAACACCGGUGGCGAAGGCGACAUCCUGGACCGGUAUUGACGCUGAGGCGCGAAAGCCAGGGGAGCAAACGGG